rnacentral:lncRNA from 1 species
AAAUUAUCUACAUCAUCAAUUUUGGCAUUGCAUCCAUAGGGAAUGGCUGAUCCGAACUCCCUUAUCAAGGAGUACCUUCUAUGUGGUGUGCUCAAUAUGGGGUCAUUUGUUAAAUGAUAUAUUUUUUAAUAAUUCGAACUUUAAAAAAAUUCAAUGCAGUUUUAAAUUCACUUAUCGAAAAGAUGUAUACAAAAAAGGAAACUGUAUUUUCAACGGAACAAGAUCUCAGAUUUCAAAUUAAAAUAUCUAUUGCAGGAUUGAAAUCUGCAGACUAAUAUAAAAAAGAAGAUGUGGUAUGAUUGCCAAUGAGACAACUAUCCACAAAAGACCAAAAUGACACAGACAUUAACAACUAUAGGUCACCGUACGGCCUUCAACAAUGAACAAAGCCCAUACCGCAUAGUGAGCUAUAAAAGGCCCCGAUAAGACAAUGUAAAACAAUUCAAACGAGAAAACUAACGGCCUUAUUUAUGUAAAAAAAUGAACGAAAAACAAAUAUGUAACACAUAAACAAACGACAACCACUGAAUUACAGGCUCCUGAUAAUGCCCAUUUAAAAGCCAAUGAAUGACCUAAAUAACAGAAUGAAAAACUUACCACGGGUUUUCAACUACAGGCGUACAUACAGUAGUUUGCAGAUACUGUUGAAAGGUUGGAUUUUCACGCACUUAAACUU